GAUGAAGAACGCAGCGAAAUGCGAUAAGUAAUGUGAAUUGCAGAAUUCAGUGAAUCAUCGAGUCUUUGAACGCACAUUGCGCCCCCUGGUAUUCCGGGGGGCAUGCCUGUCCGAGCGUCAUUGCUGCCCUCAAGCACGGCUUGUGUGUUGGGCCCCCGUCCCCGGUUUCCCCCGGGGACGGGCCCGAAAGGCAGCGGCGGCACCGCGUCCGGUCCUCGAGCGUAUGGGGCUUUGUCACCCGCUCUGUAGGCCCGGCCGGCGCCAGCCGACACCCAGCUUUAUUUCUAAGGUUGACCUCGGAUCAGGUAGGGAUACCCGCUGAACUUAAGCAUAUCAAUAAGCGGAGGA
rnacentral:misc_RNA from 1 species